UAUACAUGCAGUCGAGCGGACCGACGGGAGCUUGCUCCCUUAGGUCAGCGGCGGACGGGUGAGUAACACGUGGGUAACCUGCCUGUAAGACUGGGAUAACUCCGGGAAACCGGGGCUAAUACCGGAUGCUUGAUUGAACCGCAUGGUUCAAUCAUGAAAGGCGGCUUCGGCUGCCGUUUACAGAUGGACCCGCGGCGCAUUAGCUAGUUGGUGAGGUAACGGCUCACCAAGGCGACGAUGCGUAGCCGACCUGAGAGGGUGAUCGGCCACACUGGGACUGAGACACGGCCCAGACUCCUACGGGAGGCAGCAGUAGGGAAUCUUCCGCAAUGGACGAAAGUCUGACGGAGCAACGCCGCGUGAGUGAUGAAGGUUUUCGGAUCGUAAAGCUCUGUUGUUAGGGAAGAACAAGUACCGUUCGAAUAGGGCGGUACCUUGACGGUACCUAACCAGAAAGCCACGGCUAACUACGUGCCAGCAGCCGCGGUAAUACGUAGGUGGCAAGCGUUGUCCGGAAUUAUUGGGCGUAAAGCGCGCGCAGGCGGUUUCUUAAGUCUGAUGUGAAAGCCCCCGGC
rnacentral:rRNA from 1 species